UAUACUUUCAUUUCUCUUGGAUCACGACCUAGAAGUGAAAUAGGUGGGUCCUGACUGCUGAACUGCCUCCUCACCAGCAGUGUAUACAAGUUCCCAUUAUUCUACAUUCUUCACCAAUAUUUGGAAUUCUCAGGACUUUCAUUUCAAACAUUUUAAAAGGCAUGAAAUGGUUUUCACAAGUGAUUUUAAUUUUCACGUCCCUGAUGACUAAUGAAGGAUCAGAGGAGCAACAAGUGACAGCUAUGUUGGAGGCCUUGGAAAGAUCCAUGAAUUUCAGAGGAUAAACAGUACGAGAAAGGCCCGAAAUGUCAAUCAAGGUGGAAGAACCAACAGCUGGAAACUAUCUCAGCUUCUGUAGAUAUACUACAGGUUAGAGGUGGAACAGCCACAUUCAGGAAUAAUAAUGAUAACAGGAAACAAAAGGAUGUUUUUAUUAAGUCUAGGGAUGUUUGGGCAAUAAAAUAUUUGUAGGAUAAAUCCUGGUGCUUACAGAGGUUUUUUUGUUGUUAUUAUUAUUUGUUUAUUUGUGGGUUUUUUUUUGAG